rnacentral:lncRNA from 1 species
AUGAGGAGAGCUGUCAACAUUUCAUCUUGAACAACCUCUGCUGAGAUCGAUGUCUCCACAAAGCCUCCUCUUCUGGCCUCCAGCUCCUCGUUCCAAAGCAGUGGGCUCACAGCGUGUGGAAUCCCGUUUGACUGUAGAUGUUGAGUCUCAGAAGAAAAUUCACCCAGGGAUUUCAUCAGAUGUUAAAAAGAGCUGAGAAAAAUAAACAGGCAUUUUAAUAAUGACUCAGGGAAAAUUUCAAGAACUACUGCAUUUUCUGCAUCUGCAUCUAGACGAAUGCCUUUGUAUCCAAUCUACUAUUGGAAAAUUCAUUCAUGAUUGUGCUGGGACGAUUACAAAUAUCUCCGGAAAUUUAAAAACUCUGUUCUCACAGAGUUUGCCGUUAAGUAACAUAUUGUGUAUCAAACCUUAUUUUCCUGUGGAUUCCAGUAACAAAUGUUUCAUAAUUUUCAGUGUGAUUUUCAGGCUGAAGGAGCAAAGUCUCUUUGGAACAGCAAGAGCAGUGACAACGAGAAAGAAGUACAGAAUGUCAGGAUUUGAUGGAGCCUGA